AUUGAACGCUAGCGGGAUGCCUUACACAUGCAAGUCGAACGGAGUGGCGAACGGGUGAGUAAUGUCUCGGAACGUGCCCAGUCGCGGGGGAUAACUACGCGAAAGCGUAGCUAAUACCGCCUAUUCUUGGAGCGGCGGAUAUCGGGUUAGCUAGUUGGUGGGGUAACGGCUCACCAAGGCGACGAGCCGUAGCUGGUUUGAGAGGACGACCAGCCAAACUGGGAGUGUGAGACAGCCCGGACUCCGACGGGAGGCAGCAGUGGGGAAGUUUGGACAAUGGGGGAAACCCUGAUCCAGCCAUCCCGCUUGUGCGAUGAAGGCCUUCGGGUUGUAAAGCACUUUUGGCAGGAAAGCGGUACCUGCAGAAUAAGCACCGGCGAACUACGUGCCAGCAGCCGCGGUAAUAC
rnacentral:rRNA from 1 species